UACGAAGGGGGCUAGCGUUGUUCGGAUUUACUGGGCGUAAAGCGCACGUAGGCGGAUCGAUCAGUCAGGGGUGAAAUCCCAGAGCUCAACUCUGGAACUGCCUUUGAUACUGUCGAUCUGGAGUAUGGAAGGAGGUGAGUGGAAUUCCGAGUGUAGAGGUGAAAUUCGUAGAUAUUCGGAGGAACACCAGUGGCGAAGGCGGCUCACUGGUCCAUUACUGACGCUGAGGUGCGAAAGCGUGGGGAGCAAACAGG
rnacentral:rRNA from 1 species